rnacentral:rRNA from 1 species
GACGAACGCUGGCGGCGCGCCUAACACAUGCAAGUCGAACGGAGCUGAGAGAAGCUUGCUUUUCUUAGCUUAGUGGCGAACGGGUGAGUAACGCGUGAGUAACCUGCCCUGGAGUGGGGGACAACAGUUGGAAACGACUGCUAAUACCGCAUAAGCCCACGAUCCGGCAUCGGAUUGAGGGAAAAGGAUUUAUUCGCUUCAGGAUGGACUCGCGUCCAAUUAGCUAGUUGGUGAGGUAACGGCCCACCAAGGCGACGAUUGGUAGCCGGACUGAGAGGUUAAACGGCCACAUUGGGACUGAGACACGGCCCAGACUCCUACGGGAGGCAGCAGUGGGGGAUAUUGCACAAUGGGGGAAACCCUGAUGCAGCGACGCCGCGUGGAGGAAGAAGGUUUUCGGAUUGUAAACUCCUGUCGUUAGGGACGAUAAUGACGGUACCUAACAAGAAAGCACCGGCUAACUACGUG